CCUACGGGUGGCAGCAGUGGGGGAUAUUGCACAAUGGGGGAAACCCUGAUGCAGCGACGCCGCGUGGGUGAAGACGCGCCUCGGCGCGUAAAGCCCUGUCAGCAGGGGAGAAAAUGACGGUACCUGAGGAUGAAGCCCAGGCUCACUACGUGCCAGCAGCCGCGGUAAUACGUCGGGGGCAAGCGUUAUCCGGAUUUACUGGGUGUAAAGGGGGGGCAGUCGGCGAUGCAAGCCAGUAGUGAAAGCUCGGGGCCCAACCUCGGGACUGCGCUUGGAACUGCGUGGCUAGAGUGCAGGAGGGGCAGGCGGAAUUCCUGGUGUAGCGGUGAAAUGCUUAGAUAUCAGGAGGAACACCGAUGGCGAAGGCGGCCUGCUGGACUGCAACUGACGUUGAGGCCCGAAAGCGUGGGGAGCAAACAGGAUUAGAUACCCCUGUAGUC
rnacentral:rRNA from 1 species